CACAUCAUUAGGACAACAUUCCUGAGCUUCUCCAACUCGUUUUAAGGCUGAGGAAGGAGACCCCAUGAAGGCGUGACUUGCCCAGCGAAUCAGCAGGUUGGUGGCAGGCCUGAGCAGGGGAGAAUCCAGGUUUUAGGAUCCAUUCCCAGUAGUAGCUGAAUUACUGGGCUAAAGGGAAGGAAUGCUUUUAAGUCCUGGCACUCCUUGCUAAAUUGCUCUCUGAAAGGAUAGAGCCUGUCUCCACGACCAGCACCAACCACACAGCAGCCACCCUCACAGAUGUUGCGUUUUUUCACAAACUGAAGACAAGACCCACCACCAGCAAAAAAAGAUUACACUUCACUGUAUUGUGAUACUCGCUGUAUUACGUGGUCUGGAGCAGAACCCGCAAUAUCUCUGAGGUCUGCCUGUACGGAGUUGACAAGCUCAAGUUCUAGUAGUGAUGUCUAC